CGCUCUAUCUGUCCUCUCUGUCGGGUUCCAUGUUAUUGAUAUCUGUCGCGUCUUUCUGGUCCAGGUUAAGUAUAUCUGUCUCUCUGUCUGGUCAGUUUAUUAUAUUCUCCGCUCUGUCUGGUCAGUUUAUUAUCUGUCUCUCUGUCCGGUCAGUUUAUUAUAUCUCUCUCUCGCUCUGUCUGGUCAGUUUAUUAUAUCUCUCUCUCUCUCUGUCUGGUCAGUUUAUUAUAUGUCUCCUCUCAUCUUGUCUGGGUCAGUUUAUUAUAUGUCUCUCUCUCUCUGUCUGGUCAGUAUUAUUAUAUGUCUCUCUCUUCUGUCUGGUCAGUUUAUUAUGUCUCUCUCUCUCUCUGUCGGUCAGUUUUUUAUUAUAUGUCCUCUCUCUGUCCUGGUCAGUUGUAUUAAUAUGUCUUCUCUCUCUGUCUGGUCAGUGUAUUAUAUGUGCUCUUCUCUCGCUGUCCCUGGUUCAGUUAAUUUAUGGCUCGUCUCUCUCUGUCUGGUCAGUGAU
rnacentral:lncRNA from 1 species